GCAUGAGUUUGGAUUUAUGGCAAACCUGUUCCCCUGGGUCUCUUAUAGUAUCUCAUGCCAGAGCCAACGUAGCCCCACACCAUUGCCUGGCCACUGUCCGUAGGUUGUUGGCACUGAAAUGUGUUCCACAGUA
ensembl:snoRNA